rnacentral:ribozyme from 1 species
AGCAAUACUCCACUGAUACGGGAAUGGAUCCGAAGCCUCCAGAAGGCUAACAUAGGCUCUCCGUUCCCUACUCCUGCUCAAUACGUCCUCGUCGUACAGAACGG